rnacentral:tRNA from 1 species
GGGGCCUUAGCUCAGUUGGGAGAGCACUGCCGUGGCACGGCAAAGGUCGUCGGUUCAAGCCCGACAGGCUCCACCA